AGUCGAGCGGAUGACAGGAGCUUGCUCCUGAAUUCAGCGGCGGACGGGUGAGUAAUGCCUAGGAAUCUGCCUGGUAGUGGGGGACAACGUUUCGAAAGGAACGCUAAUACCGCAUACGUCCUACGGGAGAAAGCAGGGGACCUUCGGGCCUUGCGCUAUCAGAUGAGCCUAGGUCGGAUUAGCUAGUUGGUGAGGUAAUGGCUCACCAAGGCGACGAUCCGUAACUGGUCUGAGAGGAUGAUCAGUCACACUGGAACUGAGACACGGUCCAGACUCCUACGGGAGGCAGCAGUGGGGAAUAUUGGACAAUGGGCGAAAGCCUGAUCCAGCCAUGCCGCGUGUGUGAAGAAGGUCUUCGGAUUGUAAAGCACUUUAAGUUGGGAGGAAGGGCAGUAAAUUAAUACUUUGCUGUUUUGACGUUACCGACAGAAUAAGCACCGGCUAACUCUGUGCCAGCAGCCGCGGUAAUACAGAGGGUGCAAGCGUUAAUCGGAAUUACUGGGCGUAAAGCGCGCGUAGGUGGUUCGUUAAGUUGGAUGUGAAAUCCCCGGGCUCAACCUGGGAACUGCAUUCAAAACUGUCGAGCUAGAGUAUGGUAGAGGGUGGUGGAAUUUCCUGUGUAGCGGUGAAAUGCGUAGAUAUAGGAAGGAACACCAGUGGCGAAGGCGACCACCUGGACUGAUACUGAC
rnacentral:rRNA from 1 species